UGACAUCUUUUAGCUACAUACUCUGAAAAUGCUUUUGCCAAAUAUGCUGAAAGCAAAUAAUGCGAUGCUGUCAAGCCGGCGCUUAGAAAAUUACUUUCUCUCUCCAAAAAAUUGAGAACUAAACACCCCCGUGCGUGCUGGCGGCUAACGUCUUGCUCGUGCACGCAAAGACUCUCUUCUCUCUUCUUUCUUUGUCUAAAUUCACCUUUCCUCCACCGCUUCUCAAAGUCGAAUCCACUUCCCCAUACUCUCUGCUCGCCGCAUCCCGUUGACCCCAUCCCGAUCCUCUAACCAACCCACUGUCGAUCCUCCGCCACGUAGAGGUGCUCUCCACCCCGAUCUUCUACCAUUCGAUUCCCCUACAGCUCAACGUCGAUUUAGUUCACGCCUUAACGUACCAGACCGACUCAAACGCGAUUCUUUUGGAGCCCAAGUUAAAAACUUUGGCCUCUCGGAUGUUCACCGUCGACAAUUUGCCGAAGUAGUCCGAUGUCGUGGUCGUAUUUGCUUUUGUUUUCCCCUUGAUGUCCGUUUAGAGGAGCUUCUGAUUUGUUUAGAUUGUGUAUGUGCUUGGUUAGUCUUUGAAGAUCUGUUAUCGGGUUUGAUCUGCUCAAUAUCAUGUGGUCGUGAUCGGUUUUUGUACUACGUGCAAAAGCAAAUAAUGCGAUGUCCAAAGGAAUUCAACACGCUAGGAAAAUAAAUAAAUAGAAACUUUUUUCUUAAUUUGGACAUGAAGUGUAUGAAAGCCAUAUUAAUUGAGAUUUCACAUGGUGAUUUUGGUUAACUUAAACCAUCUUCUUCGUUCUUUCCGCUAUAUUUCUCAUUGUACACUGUCCACUUUCUCUCUCGCAUAUCUUCGGUAGAUGGAUGGGUUAGUGGGUAGGUCCUUUUUUUUUAAAAAAAGUAUCUUCGGGUUUUGAAUUCUUUAUGGGUGGCUUUUUCAAAGGUGAUUUUUUCCGGCCCUAGAUUUAAAAAGAGAAACUAUUAGAGAAAACUAUCAUUAUCAUCCCUCUGCUUUCAUGUUAUCACCAAUUUAGUCCCUCUACUAAUUUUGCCACCAAUUUAACUCAAACGUUUGCCUUCUGCAUAUCAAAAUGGUCCUCGGCGUCAGAUGAGGUAACAGAAGUCUUACGUGGCUACACAUGUGGACCUAACAACGUUAAUUAAAUCGUUUUUUAAACCCCAAAUACGUGCCUAGUUUGAAGCGGCACCGUUUGAAGCAAAUCCUUGAAGCAAAUCCCCGAACUAAGACAUUCUCCUACAGCUCCAAUUUGGUCAGUGUCGGGAGCUCGGCGUACUCAGAAGGGAUCGAGCCUGAGAACCCGUUCCGAGAGAGGGAGACGUCCUCCAAGUGAAGGAGCCCUACCAGGGCCGGCACGGCCCCGGAGAUGGAGUUGUUCCGGAGGUUGAGCCUGGUCAAGAAAGUGACACUAUGCAGGAAGAGUUCGUGGAGUCCUUGAGCUUCCACAAGUCACUCCUCUCACUGGGAUACAAGACAUCGGCAUCUACGGGCACUGAUGUACAAGGUUGCUAAAACAGAACAAGAAACAUCAGCAAACAGAGCACAACCGCAUUACUAUUGAACCUUGAGGUGUUCGAGCUCAUGAUCAAAGCCUGCAACCCGAGGCGAAACCAAUCAUUGGGUGUGCUUCGAUUCGACCAGAUGAUCGAGAAAAUGAGGAGUUUUCGAGUUUGAUUACCUUUGUAUAAUGUUGGGAGUUUGACGAGGCAUGCGAUGCAAGAUUGGUGGAGAUUCUACAGAGGAAGCGGAGGGAACAAAAGAUCCUUAAUUCGAUCCUGGUGAAACCAACUCUUUCCGCAGCUUAGGAAGUCCUAUUUGACAAUGUCAUUUGUAUGAAUUAUUGGUCCAUAAUAUUUGAAGAAUGCAGACAUGUUUCUCCAAAGCUUUCUUCUCCUUAGUCAAUAAUUACUCAAUGAAUUCCAAUCCAUGUGAUAUUUGUUUAUGUAAUUUGUUUGCAAUGUUAAGUUUUUUUUUUAGAAAAUCACGUGAAGGGAGGGGCAAGAAAUCAGGAUCCGCAGGCUCGAUCCCUUCCGAUGAGAGGAGUGGCCUGUUGAAGCUCAGGGACUCCACGAACUCUUCGUUGGAUCUGUACUGGAGGUGGACCAAACCUCCUUGCCUUAGGGACGAGAGUAGGUGGGUCGGCGUUGGCUGCUCGAACUCGCACAUCGUUCAGCUCGUGCUCGACGGGAUACAACUGACGGGGUCGCUCACGGAAAAACGGUGUCGUUUCAAACCAGGCAAGUGUUUGGGGUUUAAAAAACGAUUUAAUUGAUGCCGUUUGGUCCACAUGUGCAGCCACGUAAGACUUCCGUUACCUUAUUUGACGUCGAGGACCAUUUUGAUAUGUGGAAGGCAAACGUUUGAGUUAAAUUGGUGGCAAAAUUAGUAAAUGGACUAAAUUGAUGGUGACGUGAAAGUAGAGGGAUGACAGUGAUAGUUUUCUCAAACUAUUAAUUCAAAAUUGGAUAUACUUCCAUGAGGACGAGGAACAAAGUCCUAAAUAUACGUGGACUCCCUUAAUCCCUGACCCUUGGCAAGUACUUGGGUUUCCCUAUAGAUAUGUCCCCUAGCCGAUCUUCUUCUUUCCUUUUCCUUAUUGAUAAAUUUAAAGUUAAACUCAUUGGUUGGCAAAGUUAAUACCCUCUCCAUGGCCGGAAGAAUUAUGCUUGCCAAUUCUGUUCUUUUUGCUAUCCUCGCCCACAGUAUGCAAUGCACACUUAUCCCGCAGAAUAUUUGUGACUUUCUUGAUUGUCUUUGUAGAAAUUUUGUUUUGGAAAAUUCUGAAAAUUGCAAGAAGCUCUACCUUGCGGGAUGGGACACCAUGACCCUCCUUAAGGGUAAAGGAGGUCUAGGCGUGUCAUGAGCUGAAGGCCGAAACCUUGCCCUCUUAGCUAGCUUUGCAUGGGGGCUAGGGAGGACAAUUGGCCAUGGGCUCGAAUCCUAAAGCAUAACUACAUUUAUGGCCGAGCCUCUUUUAAAACCUUAAGCUCUUUUAACCGAGCUGCAUUGUCAGUUGGUUCCCAGUUAUGCUCUCUUGGUAGCAAGUGGUUAGUAGGUAAUGGCAGGAACAUUGUGGGUGGGCAAGGCCUUGUUUCGAAAUAGCAUUUCAAGUCUACUUACCAGGCAAGAGAGCUCUCUCAGUGUUACUGAUAUUCUUGAACCAAAUGGUUCAUGGAAUCUAGAUAGUUUAGCUUUCUCCCUCAUUGAUAAUGUGUUGGCACUCUUGCGCAAUACUCCCAGGAGCUUACUUGGGGAAGGGGGAUAGAACACCUUACUCGUCGAGAUCCCGAUCUUGUUGGCAAGGAGUGGCUUUGGAUAUGGAAAGUUUCAAUCAUCCCCUACAUCCACACCUUCCUUUGGCUUGCUUGUCUUAAUAGGCUGCCCACUGCAAGUUACCUUUAACAUGAGAGGACUUGCAGUUCCACCCCACUGCUCUUUUUGCCAAGACCCUGAAGAGACAAUCUCACAUAUUCUUAGAGAAUGUCUAGCAGCUUGCACCUUUUGGGCUAAUUUUGGCAACCCGAUUUCUAAGAAGGGGACGUUUGGUCUCCCUCUUAUUGAUUGUCUCAAAAUUAAUUGUGAGGCUUACGAACCUCACACACCAAGUGUCCUUGGAAGAUUGCCUUCCCUUAUGCUUUGUGGACAAUUUGGAAGCAAUGAAACAAAUUUAUCUUUGAUAGGGAGCACGCAUACACACAACCUCUUCGGUUUUACUUAAAGCUAGCAGUCGAAUUCUUUGCCUCUCUUUACCCAGGAGACCACAAACACACCACUACCAUUCAUGUCCAGUGGCAACCCCCUUCGGAGGGAUUGUUAAAGCUCAACAUGGAUGGCUCAGUUGCGGGCUUCCUGGAUAUUGCAGGUGCUGGUGGUGUGCUUAGAAAUCAUUUUGGUGGUUGAGUUAGAGGUUUUGGCCUCUCUCUUGGAGUCACCAAUAGCCUUGUCGCGGAGUGCUCGGCCUUGAGGGAAAGACUCCGCAUGGCUUGCGAUAUUGGCAUCCAAUCUCUUUGUGUUGAGAUUGAUGCCCAGGACUCUUGCACGAUCAUUCGCCGACUUUAGGAUUCAACAUACCUUUCAUGAGGUCAAUAUUAUUGUAUGUCAUCUUGCUCGCCUAGCUAAGGAAGACUUGUACACUUAUCAGGAUGUUCAAUAUUUUGAGACCCCCCGUUGGGACUUUAUAUUUUAUUUUGGCUUAUCAGAUUGGAGUGUCUAAUACUCGAAUUGUGUUUAUUGACGGAGCCGCUUCGGCGGACUUUGGCUAA